UGAUCACAUAGCAAGUUAGUAUUUAUUUUGGAAAUUAGAACAGGGAGUGUGAUUUUAUUGGAUUUGAAAGCUGAUUUUUUUUUUUUAAUUUUGUGCUCAGUGUACAAAAUUAAAAUAAUUUAAUUAUCUGUCCAGAUAAAAAAAUACCAGCUUCUCAUUUUUUUGUUCUCCUCCCUGUUUUCUUUCAGGAGAGAAGCUUAAUGGAGGAGCCUUGCCUAGUAUGCAAGGGAACACAAAUUGUCUGCAUCAAGUGGUAAUAAGGAAAUAUUGUUUAUUCUUUGCAGAGAUGAGAAAAUCUUUUCCAGCUUGUAUUCCUUAGACAGAUUUUCAGGUCCUGA
rnacentral:lncRNA from 1 species